CACGUAGGGACCGAGCGUUGUCCGGAUUCAUUGGGCGUAAAGAGCUCGUAGGCGGUCGGGUAAGUCGGGUGUGAAAUCUCCGGGCUCAACUCGGAGGAGCCACCCGAUACUGCACGACUCGAGUCCGGUAGGGGAGUGGGGAAUUCCUGGUGUAGCGGUGAAAUGCGCAGAUAUCAGGAGGAACACCGGUGGCGAAGGCGCCACUCUGGGCCGGUACUGACGCUGAGACGCGAAAGCGUGGGGAGCGAACAGG
rnacentral:rRNA from 1 species